rnacentral:rRNA from 1 species
GAUGAACGCUGGCGGCGUGCCUAAUACAUGCAAGUCGAGCGAACAGACGAGGAGCUUGCUCCUCUGACGUUAACGGCGGACGGGUGAGUAACACGUGGAUAACCUACCUAUAAGACUGGGAUAACUUCGGGAAACCGGAGCUAAUACCGGAUAAUAUAUUGAACCGCAUGGUUCAAUAGUGAAAGACGGUUUUGCUGUCACUUAUAGAUGGAUCCGCGCCGCAUUAGCUAGUUGGUAAGGUAACGGCUUACCAAGGCAACGAUGCGUAGCCGACCUGAGAGGGUGAUCGGCCACACUGGAACUGAGACACGGUCCAGACUCCUACGGGAGGCAGCAGUAGGGAAUCUUCCGCAAUGGGCGAAAGCCUGACGGAGCAACGCCGCGUGAGUGAUGAAGGUCUUCGGAUCGUAAAACUCUGUUAUUAGGGAAGAACAAAUGUGUAAGUAACUAUGCACGUCUUGACGGUACCUAAGCAGAAAGCCACGGCUAACUACGU